UUAUCAGGAAGUCGUCUAUCGAUAGAAGUUGGUUGUGUAAAAUUUCCUGGUUCACGUCCGCCACAGAUUUUUGCAAUCUACAUGGUUUACACACCAUUUGAGUUAGUAACGCAGUCAACCCAGAAAGUCGUAAAGUAAUUGGUGUGAUGGGUUGGUGUAAAUGAAGUUAUUUGUUAUGGAAUAAUUUAUUGCCACCGUGUUUUUGUUAGUUGAUUUAUAAGAUUAUCAAUGCCACUGUCGCAAUUUAUUGUGAUUAUGUAAAUAUCCCGGUUUUCAGCACGCAAAAGUUAUUGGGACAGGAUUUAAACCGGCAGUUUAAUACGUGUGCUAGUCAUAAACACUGUCGAUCACUAUUACUGUAUUGUUGCAUCAGAUUUAUCCUUUACGUCAACGUUGGUGUGUCGUUUUAAGAACUCUGAAGUGCCACGUGCACAUGUCUGAUUACAGAUAGCCUGAAGGACAGUAAAAGAAGUUGGCAAUUUACCGUAUUUGACACGUUACAACCAUGCCUGAAGUGUCAGACGAACGUGGAGAUGUAAUAACUGCAUUGUACACUUCUGAUAAAAAUGGAAGCGAUGAAACUGGAGAUGGUUCAGAAGGAAACCCCUUCCGAACUGUCCUGCAAGCAAUGCGUCAUGCAGGAAAGGAGCCAUUUCCUAUAAUAUACGUAGAUGCCAAGGAAGAAGGACAGAAAUAUGAACCUGCUGCAAAAUCUCAACUUAAGAAAAUCCAAAAGAUAUGGAUAAGGGAGGUAUAUAAAGAUACACAAAAAAUAAAAAAGGAAGAAGAAGAUGCAGUGAAAAGAGCAAAAAAUUUGGAAGAAGCAAAAAGAAUUCUUAUAAAAGAAGAUGUGUCUUUGCCCAAAGCAAAGCUUAUUAAAAUAGUAGCUGGGAAAGAAAACCGUGGAGUACGUGUGAAGAUAAAUGGCUGGGUACAUCGUUUGCGAAGACAAGGGAAAGCGCUUAUGUUCAUCACCUUGCGUGAUGGAACAGGGUUUCUGCAGUGUGUUCUGAAUGAUCUCCUCUGUCAGACUUAUGAUGCUCUUGUACUUUCCACCGAGUCAGCAGUUAGACUGUAUGGUGUGCUUGCAGAAGUGCCAGAAGGAAAGACAGCACCUGGAGGACAUGAAUUGCAAGUAGAUUUUUGGGAAUUGAUUGGUUUAGCACCAGCUGGUGGUGCUGACAACAUUCUGAAUGAAGAAGCACAUCCAGACGUUCAGCUGGAUAACCGACAUAUUAUGAUACGUGGGGAGAAUACAUCUAAAAUUCUCAGAAUACGAUCAAUAGUGAUGCAAGCAUUCCGGGACCAUUACUUCAGUCGAGGUUAUACUGAAGUUACACCACCAACAUUAGUUCAGACUCAAGUUGAAGGUGGUUCUACGCUCUUUAAAUUGGAUUACUUUGGGGAGGAAGCAUAUCUAACACAAAGUUCACAGUUAUAUUUAGAAACCUGCUUACCUGCAAUGGGGGAUGUAUUUUGUGUUGCACAGAGUUACAGAGCAGAGCAGAGUCGCACACGUAGGCACCUUGCAGAGUACACUCAUGUGGAGGCAGAGUGCCCAUUCAUCACUUUUAAUGAUCUCUUGGACAGACUUGAAGAUCUGGUUUGUGAUGUAGUGCAGAGGGUUCUUGACUCACCAUAUGGUGAAAUUGUCAGAGAACUUAACCCAGGUUUUAAAGCACCUGAGAAACCAUUCUUACGAAUGAACUACAGUGAUGCCAUUACAUAUCUGAGAGAACACAAGAUAUGCAAAGAUGAUGGUUCCUUUUAUGAGUUUGGUGAGGAUAUUCCUGAGAUGCCAGAAAGGAAGAUGACUGAUCAGAUCAACAAACCAAUCAUGCUGUGCCGCUUCCCAGUAGCGAUAAAAUCAUUCUACAUGUCCCGAUGUCCUGAAGAUGAUCGCCUCACGGAAUCUGUUGAUGUUUUGCUGCCAGGUGUAGGAGAGAUUGUGGGAGGUUCCAUGCGUAUUUGGGAUCAUGAAGAACUGCUAGCAGGAUACCAGCGAGAGGGCAUUGAUCCCACCCCAUAUUACUGGUAUACUGACCAGCGUAAAUAUGGAACAUGCCCUCAUGGUGGAUAUGGCUUGGGUCUUGAACGAUUUUUGUGUUGGCUGCUGGACCGUUACCAUAUCCGGGAAGUCUGCCUGUAUCCCAGGUUUCUUGAGAGAUGUCGCCCAUAAAAUGCUGCUCUGUGCGUGAAUGCCAACUGAUAGCAUCAUUUAAAUUUCUUUAAGAUAUUUUGAUUUGUCUCAUUCUGGACCUCCUGUCCCGCCCAGCAAAUCAUCAAGGGCCAAAAAAGGCAUCUCACCAAUUGAGAAACACUGGUAUCACAUGUGUGAUACAUGGUGAUUACUUGGUGUAUAGUUCUUGCUUAAUAAUGCAUUUCAUCUGUUAAUCAUUCAGUCACAUGAAGUAUGCAAAUUAUGUCAUAAAGUUUCUGCACUAUUAAGAGACACCAAAAUAUAAGAUGCAUCCAUAUUGGUAUGAUCUGUU